UACGGGGGGGGGGCAAGCGUUUGUUCGGAAUUACUGGGCGUAAAGGGCUCGUAGGUGGCCAACUAAGUCAGACGUGAAAUCCCUCGGCUUAACCGGGGAACUGCGUCUGAUACUGGAUGGCUUGAGUUUGGGAGAGGGACGCGGAAUUCCAGGUGUAGCGGUGAAAUGCGUAGAUAUCAGGAGGAACACCAAUAGCGAAGGCAGCUCGCUGGGACGGUACUGACGCUGAGGCGCGAAAGCGUGGGGAGCGAACAGG
rnacentral:rRNA from 1 species